AUGCACGCUGGCGGCGUGCCUAAUACCUGCAAGUCGAGCGAACGGACGAGAAGCUUGCUUCUCUGAUGUUAGCGGCGGACGGGUGAGUAACACGUGGAUAACCUACCUAUAAGACUGGGAUAACUUCGGGAAACCGGAGCUAAUACCGGAUAAUAUUUUGAACCGCAUGGUUCAAAAGUGAAAGACGGUCUUGCUGUCACUUAUAGAUGGAUCCGCGCUGCAUUAGCUAGUUGGUAAGGUAACGGCUUACCAAGGCAACGAUGCAUAGCCGACCUGAGAGGGUGAUCGGCCACACUGGAACUGAGACACGGUCCAGACUCCUACGGGAGGCAGCAGUAGGGAAUCUUCCGCAAUGGGCGAAAUCCUGACGGAGCAACGCCGCGUGAGUGAUGAAGGUCUUCGGAUCGUAAAACUCUGUUAUUAGGGAAGAACAUAUGUGUAAGUAACUGUGCACAUCUUGACGGUACCUAAUCAGAAAGCCACGGCUAACUACGUG
rnacentral:rRNA from 1 species